GCAGAAUUUGGCCUUGUAUUUAGAUUUAAGUAGGAGAACGAAAAGAAAUCUUGUAAAACUGCAAGUCCCAAAUGAAGUGUCCUAUAAGCUCAGAUAAAAGAUUAGUUUUGCUGCCAGUGACAAAGGAUCUCUUGUUCAGUAGCUUCUACCAAAGGAAGUUUUGCACUUCCGUCAUGCCAACUAAAACAAAUACCUGACAUGAGAACGAAACUAUUGGGAAAUGAAAUUUGCCAAAUAAUUUACACAGAUCCAGCUAAAAAGCUGCCUUUUAAAUUACUAAACCAUUGAAUAAAAUAAAAUAUAAAUAUUAGGUAUAUUUGUACAUGGGCAGAGUUAGCUGCUCAACUCCACUGACUUCAGGAGAAAUAGAGUACCAUUAACUCCUUUUGUUGAGGAACUGGAUAGAAAAAAUUCUGCAGCUUUUGUCCAUUAAGUAUAUACAGUGUUUUUUAUAUGUAUGUCAAAUAAGUUCAUGCUUGCUUCAUUGUAUUGCAUGAUGCCGGUUGCAUCAUUCAUUACCUGUUGCUUAUAUUAUAGUAGUUAUCUACUUCUGGUGUAUGUGCACACUACUUAAGAGUCUGGAAACUCAGCCCCACUGCCUAGGUUAUAAUCAAAAUGUAUUCCUCGUUAAGUGUGUAGUUGGUGAAACUGAUUAGGAGCUGUCAAUUUGAAGGCUGCCAUUAGGGCAUAAGGUUCUCUGAUGAACAAGAUAAUGAGCCUUAAUGAUGUGUAAAGAACUUAGGGUGGCUGUUCUUGUAAUUAAUUAGCAUUGUUUAUCUUGACUUCUGGUAAUUUUAUGCCCCAGGUAAAUUCAUAGUAUUUUACAGUCCAAACAUUAUGUACUAAAAACUUUAUGCAUAUGAAACUUUCCCAGUGACCAAAUAUUAAGGAGUAGUCAGUAAAGUUAAUGGAGAAAGUGGGUUCAAACCCCAGGAGUGUUUCAACAGACACUUUUACAUUUUUAAGAAUUUACAUGCUAAGGGGAUGGGAGCAGUAGAAGUACCCGUCACUGCCAUCUAAACUUCAAGUAUCAGGCUUUGUUGGCUGGUUGGGACUAGAGGUCUGGAGUAGCUAUGUUGGGGUUUCAUGGUUGCCACUGUGAUCUCCAGGGUUGACUAGACUUCUGAUCAUUUAAGAGUUUGUAUUUCUAUUUUUCUUUAAAUAUCAGGCAGUUGGCCUGAUUGGGAGGAGUAGGAAAGUGGAACUCAUGAGGAGCACUCAUUAGCCCGGUCACAUAUUAAUUGAUCCAUCCUACUAGAGUGAUUUCUAAUUAUAAAUAUAAUGCACAAUUGUUCUCUCUUCUCCCUUGGUAUUUUGUCAGUCUCGCCACGUGCAAUUCCCCUGUCUGUUCAUUCUACUCUAGGCUAGAAUAUUUCAUAUUUUAUUGUGUGUUAUUUUCCUAAGGUAUGCAAAACCUGCCUCCAAAAGAACCUUGAGCACUCCCAUGAAGGAAAUACUUUUGAAAGGAGGUGCUCCGGAAAUGUCCCUACAUACAAAAAUCUGAAAUAAGUGGUGCCUUUUGAAUUAAGAAAAUCUGCAUCAAGUAAAUCUUACCUGAUCAACUAUCCAACAAAAGGUGACUAAUAAGGGAAGUUUUGUAAAAGAUUAUCCUUUUGACUUAAAAGGGUACACUACACACUGAGCCACUAUGGAGACAAAAUUCAUGAGAUCAUUUUAGAAAAGGAGGAUGAGAAAAUGAACUCAAGUAACAGAAUGUCUUUAUUUUUUUUAUUCCUGUACUCAAAUCAAAUUAUAGACAACUUCUAACAGGACUAAAGUAUUCAUAAUUAUAACCUGUACUUCAAUAUUGUUCUUCAAUUAUAUGUUAUGACAAUAAAACUGAGGCUUGCA